rnacentral:tRNA from 1 species
UCCGCAGUAGCACAAUUGGUAGUUUGCAUUUGACUGUUAAUCAAAAGGUUGCUGGUUCGAGCCCAGCCUGCGGAG